UAUUAUUAAAUAAUCCUCAGACGGUGGUGGCGGAGAAUUUUGACGAUCUGGUCAACAGCCCGGAGAGAGACGUUCUGAUCCAGUUCUACUCUCGAUCCUGUUCUCACUGCAAGAAGCUGGAGCCGGUGUACACAGAGCUGGCUGAGACGCUGUCCUCUAAUCCCAACAUCGUGAUCGCCCGGAUGAACGCCGGCGACAACGACGUCCCCAACGGAUACGACGUGCAGGGGUAUCCCACCAUCUACCUGGCCCGGGCCGGCAGGAAGGACGAGCCAAUCAGAUACGAGGGGGGGCGGGAGCUCAGAGACUUCCUGAAGUUCCUGAAGAGCGAAUCGACUCAUCGGCUGAGAGUCGGGGCGGCGAAGGUCGAGCUCUGACACGCCUCCAUCGUCCAAUCAGAAGAGACUACAGCCCGUGCUCUGACACGUCUCCGUCGUCCAAUCAGAAGAGACUACACCCCGUCUCCAUGACAACGGACCGAGAGAGACUUCUAAAUUAUGUUUUUUUAUUUAUUUAUUGAGAUGUGCAUGUGAAAGGGGGUUUGGUCACUUUGCACGUUUUUGGGGUUCUUUGGAGGACGUCGAAAGGCAUUCUGGGAAAUGUAGUGAAUGAUAUUUGAGAUUGAAACAUGUCUUUUUGUAUGUAUGAGUCCUUUCAUUUGGGUCUUUUCAAAAGAGAAACACCCCCCCAUGUCAAUUAAAUGACGAGUGAUAUAUAUAUAUUUUUUUUAUUGGUUCAGUUUUUGAGACUUUAUUAUUUUAACUUCUUUUUUUUAUAUUUCCUCAUUUUUUUAUUAUUUUAUAUUUUUUUAUUUUACAGAUUUAUUAAUUGUAAUUUCACUUCCUGUCACUACUUCACUGUUAUUGAUGUUUAUUUAAUGCUGACCUCUUUAUUGAUUUCUGUCAAUCUGUGUAUCUGUAUAUUUUUGACAAAUCUUUUAUUUAAACUUCAUGUUUUUGUAUUUUGUGAAAAAUCUGAGCCUUAUUUUAGGAAUAUUUAAUAAAACGGACUGAAAUAA